rnacentral:rRNA from 1 species
GACAGAGGGUGCAAACGUUGUUCGGAAUUACUGGGCGUAAAGCGUGCGCAGGCGGCCUUGCAAGUCGGGCGUGAAAUCCCACGGCUCAACCGUGGAAGUGCACUCGAAACUGCUUGGCUAGAGUCUUGGAGAGGAAGGCGGAAUGCUUGGUGUAGAGGUGAAAUUCGUAGAUAUCAAGCGGAACACCGGUGGCGAAGGCGGCCUCUGGACAAU